rnacentral:lncRNA from 1 species
CAAUUUCGAGAUUGUAGUAUUGAUGUGAGAAGAAUAAUUAGUUUCAACCGGCCAAUCUAACCUGAUUACAGUUCUCCAUGCCACACCAAGGCAUAUUACACUGUUAAAUAACAUUCGAUAAAGCAUAAAGAAAGGCAUCCUUUUCAUUACCAGCAUUGAGCCCAUAGAAAAUACAUUGAAAAGAUGGCACAGGGCCUUGAAAGACGAGACAAACAUCUAUCAGACCAAUUCAAAACAGAUCCCCUGAUGAAACUGAGAUCCCAAAUCACCAACAAACCCCCUGCCCUACCACUAGCAUCGGCGAAGACAAUAUCUAGGGGUCUUGAACCCCCAAAAUACUUUAGCAGAAAAACAUCAACUUUGUUUCUUGAAGGAUAAAACCAGACGUCUAAGUGCUCUUCGCCUAUGCACUCCCCGCAAACCUGAGAGGACCCUUUCUGGUGACUCCUUAGGGGCCAACUUCAAAGGGGUCAGGUCAAAUGAGAGUCCUUCCAUCAGCAUCUCCCUUUCACGGAUAAAGAAAGGAUGACGUCUCCGUCGCCUAACGGUAACCGGCACGGCCAUCUCCUCUUGUUGCAGUGCUUCAUCGACCACCUCAAUGGAGCCCUCGAACCCAACCUUCAUGGCCAUUAUCAUCUCCUAAGGCUCGCAUCUUCGCUCCGUAAACGAACUUACUUACUUUUGCACCAAUUUUUUGACCUAGGAGAUAGGAAGAACUCAGACUAAGAGGAAAGGUGAUGAAACAACAAAUAAAAGCAUUUGCACGAUGGUGGGAUUAAGCAACCAUUUCCAGCAACUUGAUAUCUAGAUAGCCCGACCCGACCCGCCCUUUUCCUUUUUGGAUAACACCUUCAAGAAACUGAAGGUUGGCAGAGUCUGAAACUUGCAAAGUUUUAUUACUGAUAAAUCAUGGCCAUCCAAAUACCCAUACGCAGCAUAAGAUUUAGCAUCAGAUGAGAAGGCCUUAAAAAACGUAGAUCAGCAUCAUGCAUCAUGCACCACGCACCUUCUCACACAUUCCACCAAUCAACAUUACCAUCUUCUCUUUCCGCACCAUAUUGGAGGAGUGUCACUGCUAACAACCAUCUAGGACUGCCGCAUUAAUGAAA